rnacentral:rRNA from 1 species
CCUACGGGAGGCAGCAGUGAGGAAUAUUGGUCAAUGGACGAGAGUCUGAACCAGCCAAGUAGCGUGAAGGAUGACUGCCCUAUGGGUUGUAAACUUCUUUUAUAUGGGAAUAAAAUGUUCCACGUGUGGGAUUUUGUAUGUACCAUAUGAAUAAGGAUCGGCUAACUCCGUGCCAGCAGCCGCGGUAAUAAGGAGGAUCCGAGCGUUAUCAGGAUUUAUUGGGUUUAAAGGGAGCGUAGGUGGAUUGUUAAGUCAGUUGUGAAAGUUUGCGGCUCAACCGUAAAAUUGCAGUUGAAACUGGCAGUCUUGAGUACAGUAGAGGUGGGCGGAAUUCGUGGUGUAGCGGUGAAAUGCUUAGAUAUCACGAAGAAGUCCGAUUGCGAAGGCAGUUCACUGGACUGCAACUGACACUGAGGCUCGAAAGUGUGGGUAUCAAACAGGAUUAGAUACCCUUGUAGUC